rnacentral:piRNA from 1 species
UCCUUAAAGGUGCUGAACGAUGUUGU